GGGCCCGCACAAGCAGCGGGAGCAUGUGGUUUAAUUCGAAGCAACGCGAAGAACCUUACCUAGACUUGACAUCCCCUGCAUAACCCAGAGAUGGCGAAGUCCUUCGGGACAGGGUGACAGGUGGUGCAUGGUUGUCGUCAGCUCGUGUCGUGAGAUGUUGGGUUAAGUCCCGCAACGAGCGCAACCCUUAUCAUUAGUUGCUACCAUUAAGUUGAGCACUCUAGUGAGACUGCCCGGGUUAACCGGGAGGAAGGUGGGGAUGACGUCAAAUCAUCAUGCCCCUUAUGUCUAGGGCUACACACGUGCUACAAUGGUGAGUACAAAGAGAUGCAAGACCGCAAGGUGGAGCCAAACUCAAAAACUCAUCCCAGUUCGGAUUGUAGGCUGCAACUCGCCUACAUGAAGCCGGAGUUGCUAGUAAUCGCGAAUCAGCAUGUCGCGGUGAAUACGUUCCCGGGCCUUGUACACACCCGCCCGUCACACCAUGAGAGUUGGUAACACCCGAAGUCCGUGAGGUAACCGUAAGGAGCCAGCGGCCGAAGGUGGGAUUGAUGAUUGG
rnacentral:rRNA from 1 species